GUGAACUUAUAAAAGAGACCCCAGAGAGCUCCCUCACCUUUUCAUCCAGUGAGGACACAGGGAGAAGAUGGUCAUUAGCGACCAGGAAGAGGGUCCCCCCACCAGAACCCCAUGCUGGCACCUGAUCUCGACUUCCGGCCUCCAGAAAUCUUUGAGAAGCAGAUAGGCUUGAAUGAGCAUGGAAUGUAUCUAUUUAAAAAGCAGCUGGAAGUCUGUCAAGUGCAUUCUGGAAAUGGAUUCAGGCUAACAGAGUGUUCUGAAUAGAGACGCCUAAAACAAGAGCCAAAGACAUAGCAAUGGAGAACGUGGGUGGUACAGCCCUCCACCCUGGCGAGCAGCACAUUAGAAUCACGUAGGAGCUUAAAAAGUACUGACUGGCCUGGUCUUUUUCGGUGUGAAGGUGGGAUGCAGGCUUCCUGGGGUUAUCCUCUCGUACAGCCAGAGUUGAGAACCAUCUGAGUAGCGCUUGUCACACUUCUGGCCACAUCAGAAUCGUCUGAGGGACUUGUUCACUGCAGGUUGCUGGGUCCCAUCUCUAGCCUCUGAUCCAGUAGCCUGGGGUGGGGCACAGGAUGUCCUGCUGCUGGGGUCUGGGCAGCGCUAUGAGAACUGCUGACGUUGGAGCUCGAUCAGGUGGUCCCUCACUCCCUGACCCAGGGCAUUUGCUGCUUCCUGUCUCUGCCAUUCUUUUCUCAACCUGGGGCACUUGCUUUUCUCGCUAUGCUGCCCUGCCCUUUGCUGAGGCCUGGGCUAUCCCUGGCAGGGUGCAGAAAAAAAAUUUUUAAGUUACUUUUCUCAGCCCAAAGGAGACUGGAAUGCUUCACAAGGGAUUCUACUUGACAGGCAAUUGGACCACCCAAAUGGCAAACUAAAAGCAUAGAAGCGGACACCAGAGGCUCCUGGACCUGAGAUGUGGCCCUGGAAGUGACCAGAUGUGGUCUCAAGAGAUGGGGGCCCAGGGCUAGGAAUGCCGCCAUCCGGGGAGGCCCUAGAGCAGAGCAGAGCAGCUGUGGGCUGGUGCCAAGCUCACUCCUGCUUCUCUCUGCACGUCUCCCUCAUUCUUUUCUCUCUGAACUGUGACCCUUUUGGCCCCUCUGAGUACCAGGUGGGACAAGGUGACCCCUCAGCACUUGAGUUUACACCUUAGAUGUGUAGGUCCUCACAGAGGCCAACUUAUCUCCUUCUGGGACCAAAUUCCAAAUUCCUAAAGAAAAAACAAACCAAAAACGGAUAUGAUAAACCUAUCUCAGUGGUCAGCCCCUGGGGCGCAAACAUUCCCCUGAGUCAGGGAAGGGUGACUGUAACACAGGUAUCAUUAUGAUUUAGGUGUGGCAAGACUAGCAGGUCAGGGGUGCCUGCCAUUGAAAAGACUGUCAUACAGUUCCCAGGUGGAAGGGGUGUGCCAGGAGGGGCAGCCAGAAGGCAGAUGGAGGGAAGCUGCCUUUAUGGUGUUUCUGCUGGGAGGCACAGGUGCGGUGGAGGAAGCAGGCUUAGGAUUGGUUCGUGUGAAUGUCUUCAGUGGGCUCUGGUUAUCUGGUACCUGGCCCGGGGUGAUGAGGGUAGAUAGAGGCCCAGAAGGUGAGAGCCUAAUACCCAGAGCGGUCGGGGGGGUGGGUAGGCUCAGGGCUGGUUGGUUUGGGAAGCAUGUUUGUGGGCCCGUUGGUUACCGUCUCAAGGAAUGGGCUAGGCCUGGGUGUGGCUGUCCUUCUAGGAUCAGCAAGGCAGCAAAUAUCAAAGCACCAGAAUACACAAAGUAAAAGACUGCAUUAAUACAGGGUAGUUUACAAAGAAAUGGGAAAUUGUUGGUUCUGAGCUGGGUGGGGAUUGAAACGGUGUUCCCUGCAGAUCCAUUUAAAGUCUCUCUGUAAAUACGCGUUGGUGUGUAACUGUUCCUUGUCUCUAACCUCAGCCAGCCCCUCCCAUGCCAGGUGAGGGGUCUUCCCACCUCCCUUUUCCUCUCUGGGUGUCCCUCCAUUAUGAUCUGGGGACCAAGGCUGGCUGUAGCAGUGUGCCUCCAUGGCCUAGGGCGGUUGGCAAAUGCAAUUUCUUCGGCAGUGCUGGAUAAAGUGGGAUGAUGCAGUGACCACACAGAAUGUCAUUUCUGAUGAAAGCUGGCAUGCCAGCCCGUGACAGGACACAGAGGAGCGUGGAUUCCCCUUCAUGGUUGACUUCAGCCAAGGCCAUCAUCCCCGCUGCCAAAGCCUGCCCUGAUUGCCUGCCCUGGGGGAGAGAAGUGUUUUGAAGAUGACAAAUCAAAGUCAGGUCCUGCAUGGAGUUUGCGUGCCUGACAGCCUGGCUAGCACAGGAGGACAUGCAGGUGGAAUUUGUGCAAGCCUGUUAUUUUCUGUAACACAAUACACACUGAGAAGGCAAUGGGUACCUUGGACCCUGCAGGCCAAUUCAAGCACCAUCACUACUUUUCAGAAGUGUGGGGCAUAGAUGUCAACUGAGCCUAGCAAGAUGUCCUAUGUUACCAAGAGACUAUUAGAAAGCAGAGCAGGUCUCAAGAUUCAAUGAAACAAUUGCCUGGAAGCUGGAAGAUAAUAUGGAAGCUAGGGAUAUAAUAGAGUAUGUUGCUGGGAACGGUGGCUCCUGCCUGUAAUCGCAGCACUUUGGGAGGCUGAGGUAGGGGGGAUCACUUGAGCCCAGGAGUUGGAGGCCAGCCUGGGCAACACAGCAAGACCCCAUUUCUAUAAAUAAUUAAAAAAAAAAUUAGCUGGGUGUUGUGGUGCAUGCCUGUAUUCUUAACUACUCCAGAGGCUGAGGUGGGAGGAUGGCUUGAGUCCAGAAGUUCAAGGUUACAGUGAACUACGAUUGAGCCACACUGCAUUCCAGCUGGGUAACAGAGGGAGACUCUGUCUCUAAAAAAAAAAAUUAAAAAAAAAGUAGGGUGGGUGGUUGAGGGUUGUGCAGUGUGAGUGAGGGUGGCCAGAAAAACCAUUUCCGUGACAGUUACAAAGGCUGUGUGUGGAUGGUGACGCUGAGGUUUUAUCUUCAAGCUGGUGGGACUGAACUGACCUUCAUAUCUCAGCGAUGAGUCCUGUAGACUGCAGGCUCCACGGCAGUUGCAGCUCCCAGGGCUUCAGAUUGGAGCUGCCUGUGACAUGCAGAGGUGGAAGCACAGCCUCAGCUGUGGUGGACGGCAGCCUCUUUCAGCCCCCAGGUGCAUAACAAAGGCUGUCUUGAUUGUAUCUGUGAGAGUGCCAUGAUUUGGGGUUUUCUCUGUCGGUUUGGACCAGAUCAGAAAGCAAUUGGGACUAUUGUGUCUCUCAUGGAAACCCAAGGUGGGAGAAAGAAGCAGAAGGAGAUCCUGGAACCAAAAACACUUCAGCAAUGAAGACUGGAUUUUCUCUGAAAUGAACAACAAAAUAAAAUCUCUCCUGUAGAUCUCUAAAGC
rnacentral:lncRNA from 1 species